UACAGAGGGGGCAAGCGUUGUUCGGAAUCACUGGGCUUAAAGGGCGCGUAGGCGGUUUGCAAAGUCAAGGGUGAAAUCUUUCGGCCCAACCGGAAAAGGGCCUUUGAUACUAGCAAACUAGAGCGAGGUAGGGGCAGAUGGAACUUCCGGUGGAGCGGUGAAAUGUGUUGAUAUCGGAAGGAACGCCGGUGGCGAAAGCGAUCUGCUGGACCUCUUCUGACGCUGAGGCGCGAAAGCCAGGGGAGCAAACGGG
rnacentral:rRNA from 1 species